rnacentral:lncRNA from 1 species
UUGCCAGGAACAAGAAAGAGUCCCAGGUUGAGCCAAGACUUCUUAAAGGCUGCUGUCACCUGACUUGGUCAAAUCCAAAGGAAAGUUCCAAAUCAUGGGAAACAAGGUCUCUGAAUUUGCGAAAUCCCUGCAGCUGAAAAAAAAAGAAACAGAAAAAAAGAAAGAGAGAGGGAGAGAGAGAAAGAAAGAAUGAGAGAAUGAAAGAACGAGAGAGAGAGAGAGAGAGAGAAGGGAAAGGGAAGGGGAAGAUUUUGACUAUCUGAGGAGUUUUAUUUACAUGACAAGGCCACCUUUUGCUAGCCAAGCCCAAACUGACAGAGCAAUGGCAGCUGUCCGUGCUGUAGUUCUGUAGCUAUGAUUCUGCCUCUUGUUUUUUACAUGGUGACAGCCUGGGUUUGGUUCCUAAGUCAAGUCCUUUCUAAUUUGAUAUUUGUGUUACUUUCAAACUAUCAGCAGUUUUUCCCAGCAAAAAUAUGAUAAUAGGAGAUUUAAAAGGAUUUUUUAAGAGCUCAAUGGUUAAGUCAGCUUAACUAAAAGCUAAUAUCUAAGAUAUAUAUACACACACACAUAUAAGCAUAUAUAUAUACACACACACUUUUUUCUCUCCUAGGUUCUUGAUUUUUGAGAAAAAGGUUUUUUUCUUCUCAAUCCACUGAAUUCUGUUUUGUCCAUUUACUUCUGCCUGUCUCUCCUUCCUCUUACCACCCUCUGCUGCAUGAAGGACAUAAAUAGUUCCUAACAGCCUAGGAUUCCUUUAAGAAAACAGAGAAGGCGCCAGGUUUCUUUUUGGGAGAAACCUCUGUUUUUCCUUAUGGAACCCCAAGAGUGUAAACAGACAAGUUCCUCUCAGAUCUGUAAACCAAAAGUAUCUGAGACAGGUCUCAAUCAGUUUAGAAGUUUAUUUUGCCAAGGUUAAGGUCGAGCCUGUGACACAGCCUUAGGAGGUCUUGAACAACAUGUGCCCAAGGUCAUAGGGCUACAGCUUGGUUUUACACAUUUCAGGAAGGCAUAAGAUAUUAAUCAAUACAUAUAAGAUGUACAUUGGUUCAGUCCAGAUUCAGAGAGAGUAGAUCGUAAAUGUUUCUUAUCAGACUUAGAAAGUGUUAUUAUCAGACUGUUCUAUCGGUCUUAAGGUCUGUGUUGAUGUUAGUGCUGGUCAGCGGUGCCUGAAUUGCAAUGGUCAGAGGGUAUAAUAGGGCAUGUCUGACUCCUGCUUCCCAUCAUGGGCUGAACUAGUUUUUCACUUUCAUUUUGGAAUGCCCUUGGCCAAGAGGAAUGAUCAUUCAGUUGGGUGAGGAGCUUGGAACUUUAUUUUUGGUUUACAGAUCUUCAACUGCUUGUUCUUAUGUUACCUGAUCUUUUUUUUUUUUUUUUUUUACCAAAAUCGUGAUUACCCUGUACAGGGGUUACUCUUGCAUAUUUUAAGAUAAUAAGUGGUGUGGUUUUUUUUUUUUUUUUUUAAUUUAUUUUUUUAUUGAUAAUUCUUGGGUGUUUCUCACAGAGGGGGAUUUGGCAGGGUCAUGGGACAAUAGUGGAGGGA